CCUACGGGUGGCAGCAGUGGGGGAUAUUGCACAAUGGGGGAAACCCUGAUGCAGCGACGCCGCGUGUGGGAAGACGGUCCUCUGGAUUGUAAACCACUGUCCCCAGGGACGAAGAUGACGGUACCUGGGGAGGAAGCUCCGGCUAACUACGGGCCAGCAGCCGCGGUAAUACGUAGGGAGCGAGCGUUGUCCGGAAUUACGGGGGGAAAAGGGAGCGUCGGCGGGACUGCAAGGUGGGUGUAAAAUCUACGGGCUCAACCGGUAGCCGCACUUAAAAAUGGAUUUCUUGAGUGAAGUAGAGGCAGGCGGAAUUCCUAGUGUAGCGGUGAAAUGCGUAGAUAUUAGGAGGAACACCAGUGGCGAAGGCGGCCGGCUGGGCUUUUACUGACGCUGAGGCUCGAAAGUGUGGGGAGCAAACAGGAUUAGAUACCCUUGUAGUC
rnacentral:rRNA from 1 species